CGGCGAGUGAAGCGGCAACAGCUCAAAUUUGAAAUCUGGCGUCUUCGGCGUCCGAGUUGUAAUUUGCAGAGGGCGCUUUGGCAUUGGCAGCGGUCCAAGUUCCUUGGAACAGGACGUCACAGAGGGUGAGAAUCCCGUACGUGGUCGCUAGCCUUUACCGUGUAAAGCCCCUUCGACGAGUCGAGUUGUUUGGGAAUGCAGCUCUAAAUGGGAGGUAAAUUUCUUCUAAAGCUAAAUACUGGCCAGAGACCGAUAGCGCACAAGUAGAGUGAUCGAAAGAUGAAAAGCACUUUGGAAAGAGAGUUAAAAAGCACGUGAAAUUGUUGAAAGGGAAGCGCUUGCAGCCAGACUUGCCUGUAGUUGCUCAUCCGGGUUUUUACCCGGUGCACUCUUCUAUAGGCAGGCCAGCAUCAGUUUGGGCGGUUGGAUAAAGGUCUCUGUCAUGUACCUCCCUUCGGGGAGAACUUAUAGGGGAGACGACAUGCAACCAGCCUGGACUGAGGUCCGCGCAUCUGCUAGGAUGCUGGCGUAAUGGCUGUAAGCGGCCCGUCUUGAAACACGGACCAAGGAGUCUAACAUCUAUGCGAGUGUUUGGGUGUCAAGCCCGAACGCGUAAUGAAAGUGAACGGAGGUGGGAACCUUUCGGGGUGCACCAUCGACCGAUCCUGAUGUCUUCGGAUGGAUUUGAGUAAGAGCAUA
rnacentral:rRNA from 1 species